CAACUAAGAGGAACGGCCAAUGGACAAAAGUACCCUCGUCAAACAAUCCAGCUCAUGAGAUUUCCCAGGGCAUUAUUGUAAAAACGUACAUAUAGAACCAUCAAACUGUCUCCUCCGUUCAUUCUUCUGCUCAUCCACCCACGCCAAAACCCUCAACCGUGAACUUCUCCCAUCUUUGCUGUCUAUUUGUAAGAAGCGCCGCCAUGCUUACGAGUCGGACAAUUCCAGAUUCUGUUCACACCGUUUCCAGGCAUCUCCAAUUCAUUUAGCUGGAAGGCAAUUUUACAUUAAGAGUGGAGCCCAAACAAUGCUGGAUGAUUAAGAUCUUUAUGAUUAAUUUCAUUAUUCUUAUGAUUAAGAUCUUUGAUUAAUUUCAUUAUCCUUAUGAUUAAGAUCUUUGAUGUGGCAAAUUAAGAGUGGAGCCCAUACAGUGCUUAAUUUCAUUAUCCUUAUGAUUAAGAUCUUUGAUGUGGCAAAUUUAAUGAUGUCAUACUAUGGCUGCAUGAUGAAAUUCUUAAAUAAUAUGUGUUAGAAUGACAUGAUUGUAAGGGAAUGUAUAAAAUAUGUUGGGUGAAGUCCUGGAGAUGGCACUUAUA